AAUGACCUUUGGGGAAGAGAAAAUCCAUGCUUCAAAAGUCAGGCAGCAUUUUCCUGAUGUUAAAUGUGGCGGCGUUCAAACAUCUAUUACAUUUCAGGCUCUAAACACGCUGCAGGAAACAGUGAAUGUAGUUACCCUUUAUUGAGUAUAUACUCUGCACCAGGUUCCUCACCUACAUUUGUUCAACAGCUGUGUGCUGGGGCCCUAGUGGGCGCCAAGUACUUGGCGGGGACCUGGGGCACAGCCACGAGCAGGAUGGUGACUGCCCGCGAGGAGCAGACAAGCUAGCGGGGAACAGAUGAUAAAGUCAUGACACAGACGCACAUGUAAUUAAGGGAAGUUAUCUGAGAGCUGCUAGAAUCGAUCCUGAAGAACUACAUGUGGACAAUACCGCAAUUUCUGGAAUUUCUUGUUGAAAUGGAUUUUUUCUGAAUUUCCACCAAACAUCCUUAUGUUUAAGGCUCUCCCUAAUUGUUUGUGUGUCUAUUGCUUCGGGUGAGAAAGAACAUUUCCAAAUAAAAAUUAAUUGAAAAUAUUCUUUGGUUAAUUAUGAUCAAAGAUAAAUUGAUAAAUUUGAUCAAUCUGAGCUACUUCUUGAACAUAAAAAUAUGCAAAGAUCAGGGGAGCCCAGGUGGCUCAGUCAGUUAAGUGUCCGACUUCGGCUCAGGUCAUGAUCUUGCGGUCUGUGAGUUCAAGCCCCGCAUCAGGCUCUGUGCUGACAGCUCUGAGCCUGGAGCUUGCUUCGGAUUCUCUGUCUUCCUCUCUCUCUCUGCCCCUCCCACACCUCUCUUUCAAAAGUAAAUAAACAUUUUUAAAAAUAUGCAAAGAUCAGGGUUUUUUAAAUGUUUUUUAUUUAUUUUUGAGAGAGAGCACGGGGGGGGGGGGAGGGGACAGGGGCAGAGAGAGAGGGGGACAGAGGAUCCAAAGCUGGCUCUGCACUGACAGCAGUGAGCCCAUGUGGGGCUCGAACUCAUGAACCAUGAGAUCAGACCCAAGCCAAAGUUGGCUGCUUAACCGACUGAGUCACCCAGGUGCCCUGCAAAGAUCAGUUUCGACAGAGUCUGACAUGUCUGCAGAAGGCUAGAAAACAGAAAAUGCAGUGUUAUCAUUUAUUACCACAAUAGAUGUAAAUAGACAUUUUUCCCUUUCCUCAAAAAAUGCAUUGAUUAAAAGGUAUUAAUCCAUUGCUUAAAACAUUUUAUUGUACUAUAAUAUUUGUUUUAUUUUUUACUAUGAUGAUUAUAUGUAUGAAAUUCAAUAAAAGAAAUUUUGCACUGCA